ACCUGCGGAAGGAUCAUUGUCGUGACCCUAACCAAAAUACACCGCGCACAUGUCACCUAUAUUGCCGGUGGAUGGUGUUUACACCUAUCUUUCGGUCCAGGCUACCGACCGUCUUCUAGAGAGAUGGGGUGCCAAAAAAGAACCCAUGGCACCGUACGGUGUCAAGGAAAACCAAUGUUGCCUUGCUUGGGGCCAUUGCUGGCUUGCCGGAUGCGCCCCUUGCAGUGAUGCUAUGAAAAUUCACAUGACUCCCGGCAACGGAUAUCUUGGCUCUUGCAUCGAUGAAGAACGUAGCAAAAUGCGAUACCUGGUGUGAAUUGCAGAAUCCCGUGAACCAUCGAGUUUUUGAACGCAAGUUGCGCCCAAGGCCUUUUGGCCAAGGGCACGUCUGGCUGGGUGUCACGUCAAUAGACACUCCACACCAAUUCUGGUUUGGAUGUUUGGGUUUGGCCCCUCAUCCCAUAGUGGUAUGGUGGGCCAAAGAUGUGGCUGCUAGUGGUUCCGGUCGCAGCACUUGGUGGAUGACAUAAGUUAUUCUUGGUGUUAUGGUCGGACGACUGCUGUUUUUGGUAUGCCCCUUUGGACCUAUGGUUUGGAGCCCAUGUUGCUCGCACCGCGACCCCAGGUCAGUCGGGACUACCCGCUGAAUUUAAGCAUAUCAAUAAGCGG
rnacentral:rRNA from 1 species